rnacentral:rRNA from 1 species
AGUGGCGGACGGGUGAGUAACACGUGGGUAACCUGCCUAAAAGAAGGGGAUAACACUUGGAAACAGGUGCUAAUACCGUAUAUCUCCAAGGAUCGCAUGAUCCUUGGAUGAAAGAUGGUUCUGCUAUCGCUUUUAGAUGGACCCGCGGCGUAUUAACUAGUUGGUGGGGUAACGGCCUACCAAGGUGAUGAUGACAAAGAUCUAGUAACAAAUCAAAUAAGCUGGAACAAAGUUCCAAGUCAAAGCUUCGACGAAG